AUUGAACGAUGGCGGUAUGCUUAACACAUGCAAGUCGAACGGUAGCAGGCCUUCGGGCGCUGACGAGUGGCGGACGGGUGCGUAACGCGUAGGAAUCUGCCUGUUAGUGGGGGACAACGUGGGGAAACUCACGCUAAUACCGCAUACGCCCUACGGGGGAAAGCGGGGGCUCUUCGGACCUCGCGCUAACAGAUGAGCCUGCGUUGGAUUAGCCAGUUGGUAGGGUAAAGGCUUACCAAGGCGACGAUCCAUAGCUGGUCUGAGAGGACGAUCAGCCACACUGGGACUGAGACACGGCCCAGACUCCUACGGGAGGCAGCAGUGGGGAAUAUUGGACAAUGGGCGCAAGCCUGAUCCAGCAAUACCGCGUGUGUGAAGAAGGCCUGAGGGUUGUAAAGCACUUUCAAUAGGGAGGAACACCGGCCGGCGAAUACCUGGUCGCUUGACAUUACCUAUAGAAGAAGCACCGGCUAACUCCGUGCCAGCAGCCGCGGUAAUAC
rnacentral:rRNA from 1 species